rnacentral:rRNA from 1 species
AUACGUAGGGUGCGAGCGUUAAUCGGAAUUACUGGGCGUAAAGCGUGCGCAGGCGGCUCACUAAGACAGAUGUGAAAUCCCCGGGCUUAACCUGGGAACUGCGUUUGUGACUGGUGGGCUUGAGUGCGGAGAGGGGGGUGGAAUUCCACGUGUAGCAGUGAAAUGCGUAGAGAUGUGGAGGAACACCGAUGGCGAAGGCAGCUCCCUGGGUCGACACUGACGCUCAUGCACGAAAGCGUGGGGAGCAAACAGGAUUAGAUACCCUGGUAGUCCACGCCCUAAACGAAGCGAACUAGGUGUUGGGGAAGGAGACUUCUUUAGUACCGUAGCUAACGCGUGAAGUUCGCCGCCUGGGGAGUACGGUCGCAAGAUUAAA